rnacentral:rRNA from 1 species
UUCGCAAUGCCCGAAAGGGUGACGAUGCGACGCCGCGUGAGCGAAGAAGGCCCUAGGGUUGUAAAGCUCUGUCGAGGGUUAUGAAAUAUAGAUGGGUUAAUACCCCAUUUAUUUGACAAAGGCCCAAAAGGAAGCCACGGCUAACUCUGUGCCAGCAGCCGCGGUAAUACAGAGGUGGCGAGCGUUGUUCGGUAUUAUUGGGCGUAAAGAGCACGUAGGUGGUUUUGUAAGUCAGGUGUGAAAGCCUUCUGUUCAAAGGAAGAAUGGCAUCUGAAACUGCAGAUCUUGAGUGUAGGAGGGGAGAGUGGAACUUCUGGUGGAGCGGUGAAAUGCGUAGAUAUCAGAAGGAACGCCGGCGGCGAAAGCGACUCUCUGGCCCGAAACUGACGCUGAGUGUGCGAAAGCUAGGGGAGCAAACGGGAUUAGAUACCCCGGUAGUCCUAGCCGUAAACGAUGGGCACUAAGUAGAGGGGUUUU